UUUCAUCAGACUCCUCCCACCAGUUGGGGGAAGGGAGGAUCUAUCACAAACGUUAUUUGAGAACCUACUAAUUUGUGCAACAACCUCCUCCUGGGGUUACAAGGGUUAACUAGUCCUGGUAUUUAAUGAGGCCAGUCUGGUAAGUCCACAGGCCAUUAACUACAGCUGACAGGGCAGAGGCUCCACAGCUAUGGCCCCGCAGAAGGGGGAUUCUGUAGGAUUUUCUGUAGGACUUCCUGUAGGAUUUCUGAAGAACAAGUAGUAGAUGGCCAGGAUGAGUACAUUUAUAUUAAAAUCUUGAUAUAUUGGGGGUAUAGAAGGUAGUAAUACAUUUUAAAUGUGGUCAGAAGAGGAUUUUCUGAAAUUAAAAAAAAAUUUUUUUUGAGAGUAACUUUCUUGGCCAAUAACAAGUGUUUUAUGAGGCCCUGGUAAUUUGUCUUAACCAAUAUUUUAUUUUAAAAAAUUAGGAUCCUUACAAAGAGAAAUUGCUUUUGAAAUACCCCCCCCCCCUUCUUAGUUCCUAUUGCAUUUGUUAUCAUAUUAUCUCAAAACACGUCAGUAAGAGACUGAUACCGAAGGGCUUUGAAGCAAGAAGAGUCUUCCUAGUCUUGAAUCUAAGGUAAUUUAAAGUGUCAGAUCAGUAGGCAUCCAGGGGUUUGUUCAAGAACAAAGCUUUACCUAUUGCCUGGUCUUAUGCAUUUUAAUGCACCGUACAUUAAGAAUAAAGAAAGAAGGUCUUUUUUUAUUAAUUAAAAUUCUUUCGCAGAAUUUUCACAAAAACAUUUUAUAACUCAGGCAAUUAAGUACGGUGUUUGUUGUUGUUGUUGUUUUUAGAAGAAUGACUCUGGCUUUGAAAAGCAUUCUUCCAGAAACUUAAAGUUUGCCAACUGCUUCCAGGUUUUGAUAUAUUUCUCAGGUUAAAAGGUUAUCACAGUAGGGAGCAUCAGAAAGAAGGUAAAUUUUACCUAGAAAACAAUUCUAUUUUUGUACUGAAAAUUGAAUUUGUCUUUUUAGACAGAAUAAAUUUACAUUUCAAACAGCAAAGGAAAUUCUGUAGAGGAUCCCUACCACAUUUAGACACAAAUUAUCUAUAGUCUACCACCUUUAGUGACCUCUUUGCCAAUUAUCCUGCAGAGAAACUCUACUUAUAUGGGCAUUUAAGCACCAUGAGGAAUGCAUGACUAAUUUUUAGAGACAAACAGUCUAGAAUACAAUAAGCUGUGGGUUAUAUGUCCAAAAUCUAUUUUUUCUGAAGAGGGCAGACUAAGGCCAUUGAGAUGAACAUAAAGUGAGUAAGUAAACAGUCACAGGUGUUGGUGGAAGUGACAGGAGCUCACACUGUGAGCCCAAAGUCUAGGCUGCUAUAGAGUGGCCUGCAGAUGCCACUCCCAAGGGUGAGCCAGAUGCCUGUUAUCCUCCAGGAGACUGUCAAGGUCAAAUACACCUCGCCGCUCGUCCCUGUCUUCAUCCAUCAACGCUGAACUCUCGUCCUUGACUCGACCUUAAACUUUACUUCCCACCUCUCCACACAUCAUUUCCCUGCAUCUUCAGGGACUGCUAGUCCAUAUAACUCUCUCAUU